GUUUGUAUAUUUUAAAACUGGUUUUCUUGCUCAAAACAAUAAAGGUCAAUAGAAAACUAAAAAUUUGUAUUAUAAAAUGCCGACUUUGGCAUGGUCUCUACUUGAAACUACAUACCUUCAAAUGUUUUUCCACUGUCUCAUAUGAAAAGUUGAAAGCUUCGAAGGUUUCGCCAUUUGGGAACUGUCUAAGGUUUUUCCCAAUAAAACAGGUUUUUUAAACUUCUUACUAUUUGUUUUAUGGAAUUUUUGACUUCUUCUAUAAAUAAUAACGAGUAGCCGGCUUCAAUUCCACUAUUGAGGUAAGAGUAGAACUCCACACUUAGCUUUUUAAGCGUUUUCGAUUUCAGCGUUUACACCGCAAUAUAAAGCUUUUAGCUGUAUAAAGUGCUGAAAACCUGAUUAGCGGUGAACGCUUGUAAAGCCUCCUAGAGUAGAACUCCACAAACGGUUCAUUCAACUAUGAGAUUUAUAAGCUAAGUUGAAGUUUUUAAGACAUUCAGCGCUCUUCAAGCUUUCAGUGCUUUUCAAGCUUUCAGCGCUGUAUUCAGCUACGAGUGUUAUUAGCUGAAUUGAAAAUUUUCAGGCAUUGGGCGUCUUUCAGCCAUACAGCGCUUUUUUCAGCUAUGAGUCUUAUAAGCUGAAUUGAACGCUGAAGAUCUGAAAAGCACUAAAAGUGUGAAAAGUUUGAUUUGGAGAUCUACUCUAAAUAUUUAGCGCUCAAAAUCAU